ACUCAUUAUGGAAUUGAUCAAUAACAUUGCCAAAGCUCAUGGAGGUGUAUCCGUAUUUGGCGGAGUAGGUGAGCGUACUCGUGAAGGAAAUGAUCUUUAUAUGGAAAUGAAAGAAUCCAGAGUAAUUAAUGAAAAAAAUAUUGCGGAAUCAAAAGUAGCUCUAGUCUACGGUCAAAUGAAUGAACCCCCCGGAGCUCGUAUGAGAGUUGGUUUAGCUGCCCUAACUAUGGCAGAAUAUUUCCGAGAUGUCAAUGAGCAGGACGUCCUUCUAUUUAUCGACAAUAUCUUCCGUUUUGUCCAAGCCGGAUCCGAAGUAUCUGCCUUAUUGGGCCGAAUGCCUUCCGCUGUGGGUUAUCAACCUACCCUGGGUACUGAAAUGGGUACUUUACAAGAAAGAAUUACUUCUACCAAAGAAGGGUCUAUAACUUCUAUUCAAGCAGUUUAUGUACCUGUAGACGAUUUGACCGAUCCUGCUCCUGCCACGACAUUUGCACAUUUGGAUGCAACUACUGUACUAUCAAGAGGAUUAGCUGCCAAAGGUAUCUAUCCAGCAGUAGAUCCUUUAGAUUCAACGUCAACCGUGCUCCAACCUCGUAUCGUCGGUGAAGAACAUUAUGAAACUGCGCAAAGAGUUAAACAAACGUUACAGCGUUACAAAGAACUUCAGGACAUGAUAGCUAUUCUUGGGUUGGACGAAGUAUCCGAAGAGUAUCGCUUAACCGUAGCAAGAGCACGAAAAAUUGAACGUUUCUUCUCACAACCUUUUUUCGUAGCAGAAGUAUUUACCGGUUCUCCAGGGAAAUAUGUUGGUCUAGCAGAAACAAUUAGAGGAUUUCAACCAAAGGUAUCUAUCCAGCAGUAGAUCCUUUAGAUUCAACGUCAACCAUGCUCCAACCUCGUAUCGUCGGUGAAGAACAUUAUGAAACUGCGCAAAGAGUUAAACAAACGUUACAGCGUUACAAAGAUCUUCAGGACAUGAUAGCUAUUCUUGGGUUGGACGAAGUAUCCGAAGAGGAUCGCUUAACCGUAGCAAGAGCACGAAAAAUUGAACGUUUCUUCUCACAACCUUUUUUCGUAGCAGAAGUAUUUACCGGAUCUCCAGGGAAAUAUGUUGGUCUAGCAGAAACAAUUAGAGGAUUUCAAUUGAUUCUUUCUGGAGAAUUAGAUAGUCUUCCUGAACAAGCCUUUUAUUUGGUGGGUAAUAUCGAUGAAGCUACUGCGAAUGCUACGAACUUAACUUAGAAAUGGAGAACAAAUUCAAGAAAUGACUUUUAAUCUUUGUGUACUGACCCCCAAUCGAAUUGUUUGGGAUUCCGAAGUGAAAGAAAUUAUUUUAUCUACUAAUAGUGGAAUCCAAGCCGGAUCCGAAGUAUCUGCCUUAUUGGGCCGAAUGCCUUCCGCUGUGGGUUAUCAACCUACCCUGGGUACUGAAAUGGGUACUUUACAAGAAAGAAUUACUUCUACCAAAGAAGGGUCUAUAUCUUCUAUUCAAGCAGUUUAUGUACCUGCAGACGAUUUGACCGAUCCUGCUCCUGCCACGACAUUUGCACAUUUGGAUGCAACUACUGUACUAUCAAGAGGAUUAGCUGCCAAAGGUAUCUAUCCAGCAGUUGAUCCUUUAGAUUCAACGUCAACCAUGCUCCAACCUCGUAUCGUCGGUGAAGAACAUUAUGAAACUGCGCAAAGAGUUAAACAAACGUUACAGCGUUACAAAGAACUUCAGGACAUGAUAGCUAUUCUUUGGUUGGACGAAGUAUCCGAAGAGGAUCGCUUAACCGUAGCAAGAGCACGAAAAAUUGAACGUUUCUUCUCACAACCUUUUUUCGUAGCAGAAGUAUUUACCGGUUCUCCAGGGAAAUAUGUUGGUCUAUCAGAAACAAUUAGAGGAUUUCAAUUGAUUCUUUCUGGAGAAUUAGAUAGUCUUCCUGAACAAGCCUUUUAUUUGGUGGGUAAUAUCGAUGAAGCUACUGCGAAGGCUACGAACUUAACUUAGAAAUGAACUAUCAAGAGGAUUAGCUGCCAAAGGUAUCUAUCCAGCAGUAGAUCCUUUAGAUUCAACGUCAACCAUGCUCCAACCUCGUAUCGUCGGUGAAGAACAUUAUGAAACUGCGCAAAGAGUUAAACAAUCGUUACAGCGUUACAAAGAACUUCAGGACAUGAUAGCUAUUCUUGGGUUGGACGAAGUAUCCGAAGAGGAUCGCUUAACCGUAGCAAGAGCACGAAAAAUUGAACGUUUCUUCUCACAGCCUUUUUUCGUAGCAGAAGUAUUUACCGGUUCUCCAGGGAAAUAUGUUGGUCUAGCAGAAACAAUUAGAGGAUUUCAAUUGAUUCUUUCUGGAGAAUUAGAUAGUCUUCCUGAACAAGCCUUUUAUUUGGGGGGUAAUAUCGAUGAAGCUACUGCGAAGGCUACGAACUUAACUUAGAAAUGGAGAACAAAUUCAAGAAAUGACUUUUAAUCUUUGUGUACUGACCCCCAAUCGAAUUGUUUGGGAUUCCGAAGUGAAAGAAAUUAUUUUAUCUACUAAUAGUGGACAAAUUGGGGUAUUACAAAAUCAUGCGCCUAUUGCCACAGCUUUAGAUAUAGGUAUUUUGAGAAUACGCCUUAAGGACCGAUGGUUAACGAUGGCUCUGAUGGGCGGUUUUGCUAGAAUAGGCAAUAAUGAGAUCACUAUUUUAGUAACUGAUGCAGAAAGCGCUAGUGACAUUAAUCCACAAGAAGCACAACAAACUCUUCAAAUAGCAGAAGCGAACUUAAAUAAGGCUGAAGGCAAGAGGGAAACAAUUGAAGCAAAUCUAUCUCUCCGGCGAGCUAAGACACGAGUAGAGGCUAUCGUAGAGACUAUCAAGAGGAUCUCCUAACAAGUUGGUGCAAGAAAAAAGAUGGAAAAUUACAAUAAAAAAAUUGUGAGUAGAAAAACUUAUUAGAUACCGGAAUCAAUGGUAUCUAAU
rnacentral:lncRNA from 1 species